rnacentral:rRNA from 1 species
GGGAACAUGUGGUUUAAUUCGAUGAUACGCGAGGAACCUUACCUGGGCUUAAAUGGGGAGUGACAGCUGUCGAAAGAUGGUUUUCUUCGGACACUCUUCAAGGUGCUGCAUGGUUGUCGUCAGCUCGUGCCGUGAGGUGUCGGGUUAAGUCCCAUAACGAGCGCAACCCUUACCGUUAGUUACCAUCAGGUUAAGCUGGGGACUCUAGCGGGACUGCCACCGUAAGGUGAGAGGAAGUGGGGAUGACGUCAAAUCAGCACGGCCCUUAUGUCCAGGGCUACACACGUGUUACAAUGGCCAGUACAAAGGGCAGCUACCGGGUGACCGGAUGCUAAUCUCUAAAGCUGGUCUCAGUUCGGAUCGAAGUCUGCAACCCGACUUCGUGAAGCUGGAUUCGCUAGUAAUCGCGCAUCAGCCAUGGCGCGGUGAAUACGUUCCCGGGCCUU